rnacentral:rRNA from 1 species
GUGUCAGCCGCCGCGGUAAUACGUAGGUGGCAAGCGUUGUCCGGAUUUAUUGGGCGUAAAGGGAGCGCAGGCGGUCUUUUAAGUCUGAAUGUGAAAGCCCUCAGCUUAACUGAGGAAGAGCAUCGGAAACUGAAAGACUUGAGUGCAGAAGAGGAGAGUGGAACUCCAUGUGUAGCGGUGAAAUGCGUAGAUAUAUGGAAGAGCACCAGUGGCGAAGGCGGCUCUCUGGUCUGUUACUGACGCUGAGGCUCGAAAGCAUGGGUAGCGAACAGGAUUAGAUACCCUGGUAGUCCAUGCCGUAAACGAUGAGUGCUAAGUGUUGGGAGGUUUCCGCCUCUCAGUGCUGCAGCUAACGCAUUAAGCACUCCGCCUGGGGAGUACGACCGCAAGGUUGAAACUUAAAUAAAUUGACGG